AUUGACCUCGGAUCAGGUAGGAUUACCCGCUGAACUUAAGCAUAUCAAUAAGCGGAGGAAAAGAAACCAACAGGGAUUGCCCUAGUAACGGCGAGUGAAGCGGCAACAGCUCAAAAUUGAAACCUGCCUUUGGCCGGAUUGUAAUUAGUAGAGGAUGCAUCGGAUGCGGCCCUGUUCCAAGUCCACUGGAAAGCGGCGCCAUAGAGGGUGAGAGUCCCGUUGGAACAGUGUCUGCUUCCUUGUGAUGCUCCUUCGACGAGUCGAGUUGUUUGGGAAUGCAGCUCUAAAUGGGUGGUAUAUUUCAUCUAAAGCUAAAUAUUGGCCAGAGACCGAUAGCGCACAAGUAGAGUGAUCGAAAGAUGAAAAGCACUUUGGAAAGAGAGUUAAACAGUACGUGAAAUUGUUGAAAGGGAAGCGCUUACAGCCAGACUCGCUUGGGGUGCUCAACCGUCUUUGGCGGUGUACUCGCCCCCUAGCGGGCCAACAUCAGUUCGAGCGGCCGGAUAAAGACCUUGGGAAUGUGAUACUCUACGGAGUAUGUUAUAGCCCGAGGUGUAAUGCGGUCAGCUUGGACUGAGGACCGCGCUUCGGCAAGGAUGUUGGCGUAAUGGCUGUCAGCGACCCGUCUUG
rnacentral:rRNA from 1 species